CCCCUGGGUCCACUGCCUCCGGCUUCGGUAACAACGCCCCCCGCCCCUCCACCCAGCCUCCUGAUCUCCACUCCGCGGGACAGAGGCCGAGGGUGGGGAAGGAGUCCGAGGCAAGGCCAGCGGCCGUACGGAGCCCAGGAUAGGGCAGACAGGGCACCCGAGUUUGGAUCCGGAGGAGGCGACAGCGCGGGACUGACGCCUGGACGGGCAGGGACAGGGUGCGCCGGGGCGGGCAAAGCCAGGGAGCUUGGGCCGGAGUCCGCGACCCGGCGAGGAGAGGAAGGCGGCGGCAGAGGAGACCAGAGACUCUGCCGCUCGAAGAACAGCGAUGAGAAACCAAUGUGGACACCUUCCAGGGUGAUUCAGAAGAGGCACACUGCCUGCCCGGAUGAUUCCCCAAACCCGAUCAUUCCACAACUGCGUUUUGAGCAUCACUCACCGUGCCAUGUAGGAUCCAGAAAUUAUUUCUACCUUUGCAUAAAAGGACUUUGAAUAAAAGUUGAAAGCAAACUGUAA